GAGGGUAUAACUCAGUGGUAGAGUGCAUGCCUAGCAUGCACGAAGCCCUGGGUUCGAUCCCCAGUACCUCCA
rnacentral:tRNA from 1 species